AAGAGUUUAUAGUGGAUGCCUUGGGACUAGAAGUCGAUGAAGGACGUGAUAACCUGCGAUAAGCAACGGGGAAGUGGAAAUAGCUUUUGAUCCGUUGAUUUCCGAAUGGGGCAACCCGCUGAUAUUAACCCAUCAGCAUAUAUUAAUGAAUACAU
rnacentral:rRNA from 1 species